rnacentral:rRNA from 1 species
AUACGUAGGGGGCAAGCGUUAUCCGGAUUUACUGGGUGUAAAGGGAGCGUAGACGGUAAUGCAAGUCUGAAGUGAAAGCUCGGGGCUCAACCCCGGAACUGCUUUGGAAACUGUUUUACUGGAGUGCAGGAGAGGUAAGCGGAAUUUCUAGUGUAGCGGUGAAAUGCGUAGAUAUUAGGAGGAACACCAGAGGCGAAGGCGGCUUACUGGACUGUAACUGACGUUGAGGCUCGAAGGCGUGGGGAGCAAACAGGAUUAGAUCCCCUGGUAGUCCACGCGGUAAACGAUGAUCACUAGGUGUCGGCGGCCAUAGGCGGUCGGUGCCGCAGCAAACGCAAUAAGUGAUCCACCUGGGGAGUACGUUCGCAAGAAUGAAACUUAAAGGAAUUGACGGGG